UCUCUCUUCCUUCAGCGGCGUUACCCUGUCAGGUUUAGCACCAAUGUUUCGAAGAGAAACCGCAUAAACGAGCCGCAAAACGAAAAAAGACGCGAAAAGGAUGACGCUGUCUAAGUACAGAAACUGUUCCUAAAGGAGGGAACUUUAAAAAUAGAAUACAAAACUACCCGCGUGACGUCAGACGCCGAAAAGUGGCCACGUGCAGCUGCUCGUAUAUAUAAAUGCAGCAAGGUGAUUUAAGAUGAUUGGUUUGACCUGGUCCAGAUUGAGGACUCCUCCAGAAUGGAACAAACUUCUGCUACCUGCUCGUGGAUACCUGGUCGGACAUUAAAGAAACAGGUUGAUCUUCAUGAAGAUCUUCAAACAG